rnacentral:rRNA from 1 species
CUUUAUUGGAGAGUUUGAUCCUGGCUCAGGACGAACGCUGGCGGCGUGCCUAAUACAUGCAAGUCGAGCGGACAGAUGGGAGCUUGCUCCCUGAUGUUAGCGGCGGACGGGUGAGUAACACGUGGGUAACCUGCCUGUAAGACUGGGAUAACUCCGGGAAACCGGGGCUAAUACCGGAUGGUUGUC